GCUGUAGGGGUCAGAGCAUGCACAUGCCAUCAUGCAUGAUCCAGCCCCCAUGAUCCUUCCCUGACCGCACAAACUGCUGCUCUCUAAUCCUCUUGUUUGGGAUCUGCUGCACCGAUGCACUCAGCAUUGUUCUUCGGAGCCAGAAGACAAAGACUAGGUGGCGAUUUCACGGGGCUGUCAUUAGGAGCACGUUGGUAAUUGCUAGAAGCCCAGGGAUAGCGGAGGGGUGUGGAUCCUCUCCAUACUGCUGCCAUCGCAUCACAUUUGUUUGCUGGAGUGGGAGCCCCUUGUUGUAGAACCGAGGAGAUCUAUCUGUGAGCUAAAGCCAGAAGGAAGAUGUUCUGCACUGGGAUCUGCUGCCCUGCACCCUCCAUGACCACUGCUGAUCACUGAGCCCCAGUAAUGACAGAAUCUGGUGAAUAUUUCCAGGAUAAUAGAGAA